rnacentral:tRNA from 1 species
GCCCUGGUGGCCUAAUGGUUAAGUGCUUGGCUGCUAACCGAAAGGUUGGCGGUUUGAACCCACCCUGUGGCU